UACAGAGGGUGCGAGCGUUAAUCGGAAUUACUGGGCGUAAAGGGCUCGUAGGCGGCCAACUAAGUCGGACGUGAAAUCCCCAGGCUCAACCUGGGAACUGCGUCCGAUACUGGAUGGCUUGAAUUCGGGAGAGGGAUGCAGAAUUCCAGGUGUAGCGGUGAAAUGCGUAGAUAUCUGGAGGAAUACCGGUGGCGAAGGCGGCAUCCUGGACCGACAUUGACGCUGAACGGCGAAAGCUAGGGGAGCAAACGGG
rnacentral:rRNA from 1 species